rnacentral:rRNA from 1 species
GACGAACGCUGGCGGCGUGCUUAACACAUGCAAGUCGAACGGAAAGGCCCUGCUUGCAGGGUACUCGAGUGGCGAACGGGUGAGUAACACGUGGGUGAUCUGCCCUGCACUUCGGGAUAAGCCUGGGAAACUGGGUCUAAUACCGGAUAGGAGCCAUUUUUAGUGUGAUGGUUGGAAAGUUUUUUCGGUGUAGGAUGAGCUCGCGGCCUAUCAGCUUGUUGGUGGGGUAAUGGCCUACCAAGGCGGCGACGGGUAGCCGGCCUGAGAGGGUGGACGGCCACAUUGGGACUGAGAUACGGCCCAGACUCCUACGGGAGGAAGCAGUGGGGAAUAUUGCACAAUGGGCGCAAGCCUGAUGCAGCGACGCCGCGUGGGGGAUGACGGCCUUAGGGUUGUAAACGCCUUUCGCUAGGGACGAAGCUUUUUGUGACGGUACCUAGAUAAGAAGCACCGGCUAACUACGUG